rnacentral:rRNA from 1 species
ACUCAAAUGAAUAGACGGGGACCCGCACAAGCAGUGGAGCAUGUGGUUUAAUUCGAUGCAACGCGAAGAACCUUACCCAGGCUUGACAUGCACAGGAAUGUAUCAGAGAUGAUACAGCCCUUCGGGGUCUGUGCACAGGUGCUGCAUGGCUGUCGUCAGCUCGUGCCGUGAGGUGUUGGGUUAAGUCCCGCAACGAGCGCAACCCUUAUCAUUAGUUGCCAACAUAUAAGAUGGGAACUCUAAUGAGACUGCCUGGGUUAACCAGGAGGAAGGUGAGGAUGACGUCAAGUCCGCAUGGCCCUUAUGUCUGGGGCUACACACGUGCUACAAUGGUCGGUACAGAAGGCAGCGAAGCCGCGAGGUGAAGCAAAUCCCGAAAGCCGACCUCAGUUCAGAUUGUAGUCUGCAACUCGACUACAUGAAGACGGAAUUGCUAGUAAUGGCGAGUCAGCAACAUCGCCGUGAAUACGUUCCCGGGUCUUGUACACACCGCCCGU